rnacentral:rRNA from 1 species
GAGCACGUAGGUGGGUUUGUAAGUCAGAUGUGAAAGCCUUCUGUUCAACGGGAGAAUUGCAUCUGAAACUACAGACCUUGAGUAUAGGAGGGGAGAAUGGAACUUCUGGUGGAGCGGUGAAAUGCGUAGAUAUCAGAAGGAACGCCGGCGGCGAAAGCGAUCCUCUGGCCUAUUACUGACACUCAGUGUGCGAAAGCUAGGGGAGCAAACGGGAUUAGAUACCCCGGUAGUCCUAGCCGCAAACGAUGGGCACUAAGUAGAGGGAAUUACCGAUGUUCUCUCUGCCGUAGCUAACGCAUUAAGUGCCCCGCCUGGGGAGUACGGCCGCAAGGCUAAAACUCAAAAGAAUUGACGGGGGCUCGCACAAGCGGUGGAGCAUGUGGCUUAAUUCGAUGCAACGCGAAAAACCUUACCGGGGCUUGACAUGGUAGAAGUAGGAACCCGAAAGGGUAACGAACGGUAUCCAGUCCGUAGCUAUCACAGGUGUUGCAUGGCUGUCGUCAGCUCGUGUCGUGAGACGUUGGGUUAAGUCCCCUAACGAGCGAAACCCUUGUUUUUAGUUACCAGCGGGUUGUGCCGGGUACUCUAGAAAGACUGCCGUCGUCAAGACGGAGGAAGGUGGGGAUGACGUCAAGUCAUCAUGGCCCUUAUGCCCCGGGCUGCACACGUGCUACAAUGGUCGGUACAAACGGAAGCGAAGCCGAGAGGUGAAGCGAAUCC